rnacentral:rRNA from 1 species
GACGAACGCUGGCGGCGUGCUUAACACAUGCAAGUCGAACGGAAAGGCCCUGCUUUUGUGGGGUGCUCGAGUGGCCAACGGGUGAGUUACACGUGAGUAACCUGUCCUUGACCUUGGGAUAACCUCAGGAAACUGGGGCUAAUACCGGAUAGGAGCUCUUGCCGCAUGGUGGGGGUUGGAUAGUUUCGGCGGUUGGGGUUGGACUGGCGGCGUAUCAGCUUGUUGGUUGGGUAGUGGCUUACCAAGGCCUGGACGGGUAGCCGGCCUGAGAGGGUGACCGGCCACAUUAGGACGGAGAUGCGGCCCAGACUCCAACGGGAGGCAGGGGUGGGGAAGAGUGCACAGGAGGCGGGAGCCAGGUGCGGUCACGCCGCGUGGGGGAUGACGGCAUUCGGGCUGGAAACCGCUUUCGCCUGAGACGAGACGUGAGUGACGGUAAUGGGUGAAGAAGCACCGGCUAACUACGUG